AGGUGAAAGUGGUAUGGUCUCAGUUGCCUGCUAGAAAUCAACAUUAAUAUAGAUGGAGCAGGAACCUGGCUGGAAGAGGUUUAUUAAAGGUUGUGUGCAAGCACUGAAAAUGGAUCCAUCUUGCUGUCAUAUACACAGAGAUGAGGCACAAAAGAGGCAUGGACUGUAAUUCUGACAGGCCCAACAAUCCCUAUACAAAGGGUGAUUUGCAGGGACAUCAAAGGCAUGUCCUGCAAGUGAAGGUAGAGAUGGAGAAGACUGGCUGCUCUCUAUAGACAAAGAGCAUCAAGGGUCCUUGUGAAGAAUAAGGAGGAGAGGAAGAAUGUAAAUUACACAGAGCUGGUCUAGUGAGGUACUGCAUGGCCUCAUUUUUCAGCAGCUUUGCAGGAGCCACUUUAAGCUGGGAUUAGGCUACCCACUGCUGGGCACAGCAAAUUUACUAGGUCACUCAUGCCACAGAGGAGUGGUUAGGAUAGUUUGCUAGAAUAAUACUAGAUUUCCUGUCAGAUUUUUGGCAAGAAAUAUGUGGUCUGUGGCAGAACUGACACAUCAGAAUUUUUCUUACACCCCUUAAUUCUUAGUAGUCACAUUCUGUGAAGAAUCUGUUUCUUUAUGGCAUAAGUAAAAUUGUAAGGAUUGUAAUAGCUAAAGGAAAUGUAAUGAGAAUCCCUUUUUUCUCCCUUCAUACACUCCUUCUGUGAGCAUGCUCCUCUCCCUGGGGCAAAGCGUGGGCUCUCACCCUUGAAAAGUCUCCCAGUCUCCACUUAGUUGUUGUGAUUGUGCUGGUCUUCUUCCUCAGUCCUACCCUCAGUUUCCUCUUCUCCCAAGACAGGUUACAACUCGGAGACGAGCUCUUGCUCUUUGGUAUCUACCAUUGCUCCUGCUCUCCUCUCACCAAGGGCUCCUGAUGUUGACCCCACUUGCCACAGACUUGUGUGAUGUCUGCCCUUCUUUGUCUCACCCCUGAAGAAAUGCCCCAGCAGGGUUAGAGGUCAGUCACUGAGGACAGCUAAUGCAGCUUUCUCUCCAUGUGAAGCCUUCCAUGCUGGCUCUUAAGUCACUGUGGAUCAUUUUCAUAACAGAAUCACAUGGCAUCUCCUCAUGUCUAUUAUCUUAAAAGGCUAGGUCCCAGGCAUCUUUAAAGCCACUAUCAGUUAUUCCCAUGCUUAACUAAAAGAGCCACAGGGUCUUCUUGAUUACCAGCAAAAGCCUUACCAGGCUCUUUGGAGAAGAAAGGAUCUGAGCUGUCAAAUGUUGAGCUACACUAUAUAAAAUCCUUUGUAAAAAUUGGCUUUGAGGUCACAGACAGAAGGAGAAAACAUGGAGAAAUGUAUACCCUAGAAAGUCUUUCAAGAGCCAGCUGGCAACAUUUGUUGUGAUUCGAUGCACUUGGUUGCCAUUAUAUUAUUACCACUUGUCUUUGCACCAGCGAAAUAAGGUAUGCUGCAUUCAAAACGGCUUUGCUAGAAUAAAUGUCCCUCAUUUUUCCCAUGUUACAGUCCUUCUACAGAUUGUACAGAGGAAGUAUAUGGUUGCCAUAACAUAAGAGUAGCUAAAAAUACUGAGAGUUAGUAAACUUAUAUAGUUUGAGUUCUUUGAAAAUGCUCUUUGCUAGAAUUUUCAGAAUUUUCCUAAAUCUUGUGAUCUAUACAACAAGAAUCCCACCUAAAAGAUAGCCAAAAGUGAUUCAGAAAAAUACCUCAGCAAGAUGCAGACUCCCUAUCCCAAAAUUAUUUAUUAAUUAAUUAGCUACUGGAACACUAAAAGGCUCUUUCAAAAUCUGUUAUAGCUCCUGUCCAAGCUCAGUAUGAUUUGAGAAAUCAUGAAGGUCUGCUUUAAUUUUACCAGAAGAGUAAUUUAGUAAGCCUUAAAUUAUUUCAGUGAGCCAUGAGGAACCGCCUUCUGCUAAAAAUUUUAAAUAUUUUAAAAGAAAAUCUUUUUCUUCUCUUCCUUUUUCACAGAUUACAUAAAUUCCAGGAUUGGACUUGAAUGUGUUAAAGCUAAACAGCCUGUUAGGUAGUUUGUCAUUGCCGUUUACUUAUUUAACUUCUAUGUCUAUGAGAAAUAUGAAGCAAAUCCAGACUUCAUAAUAUGGAAAAAGGAACAUUGUGCCUCCUGGCAGCAGUGCAUGCAAAUGAUACAAUCCUGCUGCCAAUGUACAACGAUCAUCUGCAGGUAAUUUUUGUCUUCCUUUAUAAAUAAAGAGAGAUUAAGAGUUUAUGAAUGAUUGCACCUUCAGAUCACAUACACCUUCUGUGAUUAGAAUGUGCAAUAAAAAUUUUAAAUUAAUUCAUACUUGGGUGAACAUACUGUAUAUAGGUAACUACUAAGGUAUUUACUUAAAAAUCAUUGAUUGCCUUAAACACAUUUCUACUUUUAAUAGUAGACUGACUGUCAGGCCAAUCAAUACUAAUAAAUAAUCAGUACUUUGAAAGUGUGAGAACUCUCUUGGCUUUUGCUAGUGUAUGCCAUGCUCAGCCUGGCUUGAAACACCAAAUAUGUACACAAAUACAGACAAACUGAUGCUGAUACACCACGUUCCUAGGCACCACUCCUUCAGGUCAGAGGGAGUUUCCAAAGCAUUGUUUCUUCUUCUUCAAACGCUGACAUCAUUAUACUCUAAUGCCAACUGCUCAAACAACUAACAGACCUUCUACCCACACUCUAGCUCUUAUAUUUUAAACUUUUCAGUCGUCAUGACAGAACCCUCAGUUCAAAUCUAUUAAUUUCCUUUAUGAGCAGACCCAGCACCUUCAACCUGGAAAGCAUGAUCAUCAGGUUACAAAAGUCCUCCCACCAGUAGCUUGGUUUAAUUUCAUUAAGCCUGGAUCUCAUGUUUCUGGUCUUGAUUUCCUCAGACUUGCAUCUGGUUGGAUGGACACAUAAUGAGGUUAAUAAACAUUAUUCAGCUACUAGCUUUGCACUAAGCUGAAGUUGCAAAACACAAUUUUUUAAUAAGCAUAGUGCUCAGAAAAGUAACAUGAGGUUUUUGAUUGUACUCUAGAUGGAAACUUAUCCAUUACUGAAGAUACUGGCUAAAGCAAGGCAAGAUGACCAAUUGUAAAACAGCAUGUUAAAGCUCCUGAGAUACAUUAAAGUGCACUUCAGGAAAUCAUAGAGAGCUUGUAAUUACAAAGAUGUGAGGAUUUUUUUCCUCUCUGCCUUGUUUAUCUAGAAAACAAAUUGAUAUAAAUUUUAUUUGAGAGGUUGUCAUAGGUUAGCAAGCAUAGUCCCGGAAGGGAUGUCCUUGCCAAG